rnacentral:lncRNA from 1 species
CCCGUUACACUCCCUGAGGUAUAUCCAAGCAUAGAGAGUGUCUGUCUGCAUCAGCUACCACCAGAGUCUCUACAGCCACAUCUCUCAGAGCCGCAGUCACUUCAUUGAUAAACUUCAGGGGGCUGAACUGGAUACUCUUUUAAGGCACUUUGGAUCCAACUCAACUCAUCACACAUUUAUGGUGCCAGAUGCCAAUUUGGAGAAGAAAGGGUCUUGUUCUCAUGAAGCUCACAGAGAAACAGGUAAACAAACAUACACCGAUGGAAAGCACUUGAUCAAGGACCUCCUGGUAGGAGGUUUGAUGGUAAUUAACUGUGUCUAGGGGUAGAUGAGGUUUUGGAGGACUGGAUGUGUGAGUUGAGUUUUGGAAGAUGGAGAAAACAAACUUUUGUUUUUUGUUUCCCGUGG